GCGCCAAUGGUCCAGUGGUCAAGAUACGCGCUUCCCAAUAUUGUUUUGGAGUUGGAAUUCACACCAGCUACAACAGCGCGAGAGUCGGGUUCGAUUCCCGGUUGGCGCA